rnacentral:rRNA from 1 species
GGGGAAUAUUGCACAAUGGGCGCAAGCCUGAUGCAGCCAUGCCGCGUGUGUGAAGAAGGCCUUCGGGUUGUAAAGCACUUUCAGCGAGGAGGAAGGCAUUAAGGUUAAUAACCUUAGUGAUUGACGUUACUCGCAGAAGAAGCACCGGCUAACUCCGUGCCAGCAGCCGCGGUAAUACGGAGGGUGCAAGCGUUAAUCGGAAUUACUGGGCGUAAAGCGCACGCAGGCGGUUUGUUAAGUCAGAUGUGAAAUCCCCGAGCUUAACUUGGGAGCUGCAUUUGAAACUGGCAAGCUAGAGUCUUGUAGAGGGGGGUAGAGUUCCAGGUGUAGCGGUGAAAUGCGUAGAGAUCUGGAGGAAUACCGGUGGCGAAGGCGGCCCCCUGGACAAAGACUGACGCUCAGGUGCGAAAGCGUGGGGCAGCAAACAGGAUUAGAUACCCUGGUAGUCCACGCUGUAAACGAUGUCGACUUUGGAGGUUGUGG